CGGGGGACAGGGUGACAGGUGGUGCAUGGUUGUCGUCAGCUCGUGUCGUGAGAUGUUGGUUAAGUCCCGCAACGAGCGCAACCCUCGACCUUAGUUGCCAGCAUUCAGUUGGGCACUCUAAGGUGACUGCCGGCUAAAAGUCGGAGGAAGGUGGGGAUGACGUCAAAUCAUCAUGCCCCUUAUGACCUGGGCUACACACGUGCUACAAUGGGCGGUACAAAGGGUCGCGAACCCGCGAGGGGGAGCCAAUCCCAAAAAGCCGCUCUCAGUUCGGAUUGCAGGCUGCAACUCGCCUGCAUGAAGCCGGAAUCGCUAGUAAUCGCGGAUCAGCAUGCCGCGGUGAAUACGUUCCCGGGCCUU
rnacentral:rRNA from 1 species